rnacentral:rRNA from 1 species
AAGCGUUUGAAGUCAGUCGUGUCGUUUGGAAUUCAACCCGGCUUUUGCCCGGUGUACUUUCCAUAUGACAGGUCAGCAUCAGUUUCGAUCGGGGGAAAAAGGUGUGGGGAAUGUGGCUGUCUUCGGGCAGUGUUAUAGCCCCACAUUGUAUGCCUCGAUUGGGACUGAGGAGUGCAGCGCGCCUAUUGGCCGGGGGUUCGCGCCCCUCGGUACGCGCUUAGGAUGCUGGCGUAAUGGCUUUAAG